UAGUUGUGGGUCAUCUUGAGGGCAGGUUCUGGAAAAGUGAGUCUCUGCCAUUUGUUCACAUUGUUCAUAACGAUCUGAGAUCUUGCAUUCUUCUGCUCUCUCCUCCAGCUACUCCCCCCCACCCCCACCAAGAAAAGAUCCUUUCUGAUCAUCUAUCACUUUGACCAACUCUCCAUACACAUGCUGAUGCAGUAUCUCACAAGGACAAAGCUCUGAGGAUCAGGUGUAAGGUGUUUUCCCAAUCUGUUUUACAGACACACGCUCCCUUCUAGAUUCCAGGUGCAUGCUUUGGCUUGUGUUUUCAUUCGGUGUCCUUUAAAGAAGUGAGUAAUCGGGGGAUUGUAGAAAGAGCAACGACUUGGGAAGCAGAAAUGCCUGGAUUCAUGUUCAGGCACUACCAACCACAGGCUGUGUGACCUUAGGCCAGUUGUUUAACCUCUGAGCUUUCAAUUACAAAAUUUCAACUUCAGUUAGCAAAUUGAGAUGAUAAUGCUACUUCCUAAGAUUAUUGUGAGAAUUAAGGGAGAUACUGUUUGUGAAGAGCUUGGCAUAGAGAAAUUGCAUAAGGGUAGCUACUGUCAUAAGCACAUGUGGCAAAAUCUGCAUCCUCACUUCCUUUCACCCUGUCACAACUUCCUGUUCCCGCACUGUCGAUUUGGCUGUGAGACGCAAGGCCUUCAUGGCCCCAAGGAGACUUGUCGCAUUAAGUUCUUGUGUUUUGAUGUUUACCAGCUGAAGGCCAGGUGUGACAGACAGAGAAGGCUGAUCUGCCUCUUCCCUCUCCGUCCUCCCCGCCACCAGGUGAAACUCCUCCGAGCUGGGGAAGGGAGGAGACCUGGUGAGGAGAGAGCCGGGGUGAGUCCAUGCUGAGGGCCUCACAGAAGGAGCCCUGCUGUGCAGCCCCUUAGAUUUGGGGUUCUGCAACUUAGAACAGACUGGCACCCCAUUUCCUGCUUGGAUCCCUGAAGGAGAAGCUCCCGCCGCGCCCGCCCCAUCAUGGUAGCUGUAGAAUAAGGCAUAAGCGGUAGAAAGGGCUUAAGUAGGUGGGCUGGGGGCAGCCUCCCAGACACCCUGCUUGUCCCACCAGGGCUCAGGAAACAGCUCAAUAACCUUCCUCUGUGCUCUGAGAUGCAGCUGACUUUGAUGGGUGAAGGGCAGCAGAAGAAUAUGCCGCCCUGAAAAUACCUCUUUGGCAUAGGAUUCGUUUGAGAAACUACAGACACAGGAGAAGCUCUGAAAACAAAGGAGAAGUUACUCUUUUGCAAGAGAAAUGUGCAUUUACAAAGGAAAUUUCCACUUGUAGGGUUCUCUCCCUCUCCAUACCAGGAAGGGAAGGAAAACCCUUAAUCACAAGGGACCUAUCAACGGAGGAGGGACCUCAGCCAAGAACUCAGAAGGGUAGAGGGAAAAUUAUUUUUCCUCCCCAACAAGGGCCUCGUGACUGGGGAUGAGAGGACGCAGAGUGGUCGCAGAGUACACCGUGAGAGCAGAAACCCCACGGGAAUGCAGGUGUCCUGAUGGAUGCCAGAGAGGUGGGGAGGGGGGGAGGACAGUCAAACAGAAUGACGUUAAUCUCAGCAGGACCCACGGGGCACCUGUGACACUGGAAAACCAGAUACCUCCAACCUCCUCCUCCCUGCGUGUCAUGAUGCUUCACAAACUCCCAGGCAGGGAGUGAGCCCCAAGUUGGAUGGUUUAACUCUGAGUGGAUUGGGUUUGCCCUAAACCGAUGAGUUCUCCACUACCAAGCAGAACUGAGGUUCAAGUAACUUGACAUAUUAACAGAGUGAUAAAGACAGUUCGCGUAUCCAGUGACCCCACCCAUGUCACAGAUCUAAGCCUAAAUCAGCCUGAUUUUACCAGAAACUCCUGCCAAGGAAGCCUGACAUACACCACUCACAAUCCUCCAACUCAGCUUUAGCUAGUUUACUUUACCCUAGAAAACAGGACCUGCUAGUUUUGUAAGGAAAUCCCCACCCUCCUACCCAGUCGUGCUGUUUCCACGUGGCCUCUUCUCUCUGUAAACCUCCUUCUUGCCCAAAAUCCCUCCGGAAGUGGGUUCCACUGCUUGUGAGACGCUGUGCUCCCCAAAUCCUUGAAUAAGGGACUUCAAACUCAUUACUAACUCGUUUUCGUUUUGUCAUUAAAUGAGAAAGUUGUGAGGGGAAACAGAAUAUGCCACCCCAAAGUAGCCACUUGGACAUGUGGAUGUUUUGGCCUGAAGGCAAUGAAGACCCAGCAGUCUCUGGAAAAGCUUUUUGCCUCUCCCUUAACUGCCUAAAGGAAUUUAGAUAAAGGAAUUUAGAUAAAGGGCUUGUUGCCCUUUAUCUAAGGGCAAAAGAGCUAUUACUAGAGAGAACUUUUAUAUCAGAAAGACUUAUCUGCAAGGCAAGGCAAACAUUUGUUUACCAGACAUUUUUUUCUUCUCCUCUCCCUGUGAUUUGUCUUCCUGCCCUUUGAAGCCCAGACCCCUACCCCCUUCUUCUUGGCUCAAGAAGGAUGGUAUGUAAGCCUCACUUAGAAUAGAAGCGGCACAAAGUUGAGAGCUCUAAGUACAGAUAAGUCAAGAAAGUAGUUUCCCUAGUUCUACUGGCAUUUCCAACAACAGCAAACUGAUGGAUACGUAGAAUAACCUGCCAUGGUUCUCUAGAGCUUUAAUCUGUCAAGACAACUUUUCCAUCGUUAUCUUUUUAAAAAUUCUCAUGUCACUACUACUGGAAGGAAGAUAUUAUUGCCCCCAUUUUAGAGAAAGAGAAACUGGAGUUCAGACUGGGGAAGAGGCAGCUAGCGAGCGGAUUCCAGAGCUGGUACUACCCAAACUACACGAAACCAACCCAGUGGAGGAAGUGGGCACGUGGGAGGUGAAGCAGGGCGGGGGGGAAUUCUGAGCUGAAAUGAACUGUGACUGUAUUUAGUGAAAAACAUUUCUUAGUCAUAGUUUACCUGUAAGCUUCACAUGCUGAAAAAAAUGGGUUGCCCAACAAACAUAAGACCUUCAAAGACAGUGCAGGUGUCAACUAGGAAUUUCCCAGAAUUUACUUGAUGUGAUUCAAAAUUAUGCUCCCGUCCAACAAAGCAAGUUGAUAUCAGUGCAGUGGUUUGAAGCGACUUUUACAUCAGGGCUUGAACACAGAGCAGAUGCCCUUAAGGCUCAUAGAUAAACUUUCCCAAUAAGCUUCCAUCGGUGACUUGAUGGCUUUCAAGAAGAAAACUGGAAAGAGAAUCCCUAACACUUUUAGUGGUUAACUUUAAGGAUGUGAAUGUAUUAUAGUGGCUCUGAGUCUAGCCUAUCUUUUUUAUGUUUUCCUUGGGUAAACCAAACCACUGUUUUGGUUCAACUAUUUCAACAUAUUAAUUCUGCUCUAUGCUUGAGGGCAUGUGAGGAGAUGAGAGAACCCAGGGGGUAAAUCAGGUUCUAAUUUUGUCCCAUUUUGUACUUACAUGAGAAAUUCAAAUGAAAUAUAAAGGAUAUUUGAUUGCUUUGAAUAUCAGAGAGAUAUACCCAAAAAGUUCAUACUAAAUUUCUCACAGUAAAGGUUUUUUGAAAAAAAUUUGUUUAGAAGGUACCAAGGGUACCUUCAACAGGGAUUAACUGAAACGAAAAUAGGCAAAUGGAAUCUGUCCUUAAUGGACAGACUUUUAAUAUUUAGAUCACUUAAUUUUGUAUCAGCCUGGGUUGGGUCAAGGGUGUGAUGAUAAAUCAGACCAGAGCUGAUACACACAAGACAAAUCUGAUUUGUUCGCAGUGCAAGGUCCCAAGCUCACAGCUGGGGACAGAGAGCCACGAGGAGGGCGAGCAGGAGAUGGGGAGAGCAGGGUGAGGCGUGGGUGCAGAACAAGAUUUUGGUACCCAGACUGCCCCCAUCACUUACCCCCGCAGGAGUUCAACCCGUUCUCACAGAUUUACAAAUAAUUGAAACUCUCAACAGACACCACUUGCACAUUUUAUUGCUCAGUCUCUUACGUCAGAAUUUGCAUCAGCAACAGUAGCUCUGGAAGCAAAUGUUCAAAACAGAGACCCAGCAGCAUUGGCUGGAAACAGGCAACUACGAUUUCUACCUGGUGCUUUUGUCUAUUUUAUGUUCCAGUUACAAACUGGAAACAAAAAUAUAUAUAUUUUAAAGUUUUGAGCAGAAUUAUUGGUUAUGUUUUCUAAGCUUUAAAAAUGAGCAGGGACCUUGGAAAAUGUGAGAUUAUGUCCCUCCUUAUUUUGGGAGUGAGGAGGAAAUGAAGGAGGUGGGAGUUAAAAUGCCCUUUCUUUUAUGAAUGGUGAUAACAGGUGGUAGUUUUAAACAGUGUUAAUUGGCAGAAACAGAAGGUGGAUUUUUAAAAGUCCCCUAAAAGCAAAGGUUUAUAAACAAAACUACAUUUUAUCACAUUAUCUUAUACUAUACUCCUGCACAUGGAAGCUCAUUUCAGCAAAUCAGUGCCCAUAGGGAGGAGGACACAUCCAGCAUUCUCACCCCUUAGUUCCAUGACCUCAGUUCCAAAAUGGUCUUUCAUACUACUUCACUCUUCAACUUAAUCAGUCACAUCUUUUUCAUGAUUGAAUUUGCCCCACCUCCCAUCCAUUCUCUGACUACAAUCUGCAAUCCUUUUAGUCUUAUUGUUCCACUGCUUGUACGAUGAGGGUUCUUCAAAUUCAUCAGGACCAUCAGGCCACAGACCACUCUUCUUAUUCCCUAAAAUUACCCCCUUCUGUGUUCAGUGCCCCGUCUCUCCAGCUUAGCUCCAUGGUCCAUCAGUUGAGUAGUAACUCAUUUUGCAGUCUCCUGAAGUCCGUGGCUCCUCUUUUUUUUUAAUAAAUGUGGGAAAAUACCCAAAGUUGGAUGAAGCCAACACAUACCAAGCAGCUGAAUUAUCCUAGAUAAAACCCCACAACAGGGCAGGCUGGUACCACUGUGAUUCACCAUCGCUGGUUUCAACUGGGUCCUAAACGCUGCCCAGCGAUCUCACUAAACUUCUCCCGUCAACUCACUCUCCAGCUCUUGACAAUGGUUUCAAAGCUUCCUUAUUCUUCUAACCCUUUGAACAGUUAACUUUGAGCACAUUGUCUUCUACUUCUUAAAAAAUAGAGUUAUAACCUCCUGCUACAAAACUUACAGGCCUAGCUUUAUUCACAUCCAGCUUCUCAUAUUUCCUCCCGUUAAAAACAAACAAACAAAAAAACCUCACCUCCUCUCUGCAUCCCCACAAUUAGCUCAGAUUUAACCCUCUCUCAUUGCUUAGGAGCCCUACGCUGUCAGUUACUUUUCCCUCCAGUAUUUUCAGUCUUUUUCCGGACUGGAUUCUUGCCAUCAGCAUUUAAACAUGCUCAAAUCUGUCACACAACACAACAUUUCAACUCAUUUCCCCCUCUAGCUACUUCUUCCCGCCAACCCCACCCUUCCUUCGAAGGCAAUUUCUCAAGUUUUCUGUACUUUUAAUUUCCGUUUCCUCACUUGGCACUCAUAUAGCAGUCCUCUCUAAGCUGGCUUCUGCCUCAAUAUUUGCACAGAAUCCCCUUUGUCAAGAUCACCUAUAACCUCCUGUCACAAAUCCAAUGCAUAUUUCAAACGUUCAUUUUCUCUGAAUUUUCAGUAGUUUGCCCCGGCAGGCCACUUCCUCGGGAAGCAGUUUCUUCCCUUGGCUUUCUCACCCUAUACUCUCCUGUUUCCCCACCUUCAGCCCUGGCCAUCCUUUUCGGUCUCCUUUCCUGGGUCUCUAGAUGUUGGAGCCUCUUCCCGCUGCACUAGUACUCUGGCCCUAGGUGGGAUCUGUAGGUAUAGCAUCCUCAAGGCCCCACUCUGCAGCAUCUCCCUGUUAGCCUCACCUGCUCUCCUUCUGCUGACUCCCCUCCACCCACAGUGGCCUCCUCAAUGCUCCUUAAACCUGCCAGGCAGAAAUGAGUCUUUGGAAAUAUUUCAGUAAAAUCAGUGAAUUAGCUUUCAAUACAUUGGCCAAACAUGCUUCCCUCUUGGGAAACUGUAUAUGAGGCUGUUAGGUCCCUGAGCUGACAUUUAAGUCACCUAAAACCAAAGCAUAAGGUGUAGAUCAGACAUUGGCCUCUUAGCUCAAACAUGCUACUUAAUAGCUUUUGCACCAACUUUAAAUCUGGAAAAACAUUUUCUUGAAAGGGAGAUGCUUGCUUUUUCUGAACAUCCCUAAGCAUUUCAGUUCCUCAGUUCUUUCAAUUAUCAACGUAGCAGACGGUAGAGAUUCUGUGCACAAAAAUUCUUUGAUGGAUAUUUCUUGGUCUGCCUCAUCAUGUGAUAAUUUAUUACAAUCAUAUUGCAAAGGAUAAGGAUGGAACAACUAGAGAGUGAAUUAAGAAACGAAUGUGAAUAGUCUAGUUUGCUCCUUGAGCUAUAAAAAACUGAUGCUGAGUAUUACUUUAGGCUCAAGUUCUAAUAUCAAGCGUGUUACGAUUUCUCAGCUAAUACCUACAGAGGUUGAAGCAAAGAAGAAAAUAAACAAGCUAAACAAAAUCCUGCAACAUGGCUAUGGACAGCCAUGGCAUCCCUCCCAGCCCUACCCCCGUAUGGAACCACAGUUCUCAUUCCUGAAAGUUUUGUGCCAUCCCCAUCCCCCCUUGAUUUGAUUCCAUUUUUGAAGCCAGGUAAUAAUACAUUGACACGGUUCCAAAAAGUCAAAACGAUAUAGAAAAGUCAACACAAAAGAAAUUUCACUUCCAUCCCUGUUCCCAUCCACCAUUUACAUUUGUAUUAGUGCCCUUUAUCCUCCUGGUGUUGCUUUACGCAUAUUCUUAUGCUCUCCCCGCCCCCUAGACCUUUUUUACACAAAUUACAGCAUACUGUCUAUGGCGUUCUGUGUUUCGUCCUUUCCCACCUGAUCAUACAUGCUGGAGACCUUUAUCAGUUCAAGAGGGUCCUCCUCGUUCUAUUUUACAGCAAGUCGUGUUCCACUGUGUGGAUGCAACAGUGUAUCUAACCUAUCGUUUUUACAGCUGGGUUGCUGUAAAAGAAUGCUAAGGUGAAUCAUUGCGUAUAUACUUUUGUACAUGUACGGGUGUAUGGGCAGUUUGAGCUCCAAGACCUGAGAUUGCUGCUUCAAGAGUAAAUAAUUGGAUAGGUAUUGCCGGAUUCUCCUCCACACGCGGUUGUGCGGUCCCACCAACGGGGGAUACAUUUCCCCACAGCUCAGCCAACAGAAUGUUGUCAAAUGAGGUCUUUUGUCCGUCUGCUAGAUGACAGAUGAUACCUUAGUUUAAUCUGAAUUUCUCUUGUGAUGAUUAAGAUUUUCAUCUGAGGUAUAAGGGACAUUUGGUGUUUUUCUAUGAACUGUCUGUUCAUGGCCCUUAGUCCAUUUUUCUAUUGGGUUCUUGGCCUUGGUAUUUUUCUUUUUAAUAUUGAAGACUUCUUUAUUUAGCAGAGAUUAGAAUGGGCUCUACUAUCAACGUACUACAGAACUAUAGCUUUAAAAGAGUCUUAAGGGAGUUAUUCAUGUCACCCUCUACUCCUUGGAAACAGGAAUCCCCUAGUCCCAAUUAGAGAAUUUUAUUAGUUUUCUGACUUAAAAGUAAUGUACAUUCACUAUAGAAAUACUGGAAGAAAUGUAAACCACUCAUGUUUGCACUUUCUCAUAUUUCUCUUCUAGGUACAUAAAACACAAAGGGGACUUCUUCCCCUGUCACAGCUCCUCUCCCAGAGCUGACCAUCUGGGGACAUCACAGGUUUUUUUUCAACCCUCCCCCGCCCCCAGUUCUUCCCCCCACCCUCUAUUCACCCUACUAAAAAUUUAUGGGUUGAAGUGAUUCAUUUCAGCAAUAUCCUUUAUACUCUGCUACUCCCCAUUCCUCCAAGCAAGGAAACAAACAAAAAUAUGGUCAUAUUUAGGGGCUGUGAUCUCUGCAAACUUCGUAUCCUUCCUGGCAUCAUGGUAACUUUAGAAAUGGUCUUCUGAGAGGGACCUGGGAGAAAAGGAAGGCUGCUUAUCCUAUUCGGUAAUUUGCCACCAUCUCAAAGUAUUUGAUUAAAGGGUCCUGUUGCAUCUUCUCUGGCCCUUCCAAAUCAAGCACUUGGUUAAAAAUAUUUUAAUUUCAGCGAGUAGCACAUCAGAAACAACAACAAACACUUGAAUGUGAUGGUAAUUUUAAGUUAAAAUUUAUAUUUGGAAAUAAAAAUUCAUAAUAACAAAUUUUUUAUAAAAUUGUCACAUAGGGGUUUCCCUGGUGGCGCAGUGGUUGAGAGUCCGCCUGCUGAUGCAGGGGACGCAGGUUCGUGCCCCGGUCCGGGAGGAUCCCACAUGCCGUGGAGCGGCUGGGCCCGUGAGCCAUGGCCGCUGAGCCUGCGUGUCCGGAGCCUGUGCUCCACAACGGGAGAGGCCACAACACUGAGAGGCCCGCGUACCGCCAAAAAAAAAAAAAAAAAAAAAAAAAAAUUGUCACACAGGAACACACUUUAAGAUACUUCAUUGACUUCGAAAAAAUUACAGACAUAGCCAAAACAAAUAGCUUUCAUUUAUAAAUGUGAGUUCCUUUCUUUCAGCAAAAGAAGGCUCACAGGAAAUGUCAGACGGAAAAGCAGCGGGAUACAGCGAUGCAGGGACGGCUCAACAUCUCUUGAGCUAGGAGGCUCCUAGCCUGCUGUCCCCAGCUCGGGCCAUGCUGCUUCUCCUCUCUGGCCUACAGUUUCCCUGGGCACCAAAGGAGGGAAGACUGAAUGACUGCUAACGUCCUGCAUGCCAUGGUCCUUUCAUUUCAGAGAACCGUAUAUGAUCACAACAGUAUCAUUCUCCUUUGAUUAUAAAUGUCAACAAAAUACAACUUAACAUGCUCAAAAAUUUUACUACAAAGAGUGCUAAUGAUUUUUCCCAUCCUUGGCAAAGGAUGGUUGAGGGCCCAUAUUAUUGGGCCACACUCACCGCUUAUAUUGGAAAAUGAGGAAAUGCUAAUGAAAUUGCUUUUAUGGGCUGACAUUCAUGGAUGGCAGAAAGGGACAUUCCAGAAGGAGUCCAGGAUUUGCUCUUCAGGAGUACUUCAGCUCCCAAAGCUUGGUGGCCAAGUGCACACGUGGCCACACCCAUGUCUGCGUGCCGUCUGUCAAGGUCACUGAGCACUUGUUAUCGUUGAAGGGGAGAGACCUCAGGAUUUUCCCCUAACAACACUCCGAGCGUCUUGUAAAUCAUAUUCAUAUUCAUACACUUAAGCAUUAAUUUACAUACUUAAUUUCUGACAGGCUGACAACUGCAGCCCUUCUCCCCCUCGGUGUAAAGUGAGAAGUGAAUUGUUAUUCAGUGUAUCCAGUACAGUGGUAAUGGUGCUAGCUGUAUUUUAUAUAAUGUGCUAUCUGCAGAAAGGCAGAUAAGAAUUUAACAUCCAAUUAAAAGCUGUCAUUGAAAAAAUUGAAAAAAAAAA